rnacentral:rRNA from 1 species
UGGCGGCAUGCCUAACACAUGCAAGUCGAACGAGACCUUCGGGUCUAGUGGCGCACGGGUGCGUAACGCGUGGGAAUCUGCCCUUGGGUUCGGAAUAACUCAGAGAAAUUUGAGCUAAUACCGGAUGAUGACGAAAGUCCAAAGAUUUAUCGCCCAAGGAUGAGCCCGCGUAAGAUUAGCUUGUUGGUGGGGUAAUGGCCUACCGAGGAAACGAUCUUUAGCUGGUCUGAGAGGAUGAUCAGCCACACUUUUCCUCAGACACGGGAAUGACUCCUACGGGAG